GCUGGCUUGACGUGAGGCCAGUACGAAAGACUUAUGUUUUGAUUAGGUUAUGCUAUGUUUUGUUAUCUGAGUUUUGUUUGCUGACUGAUGCAGCCAUUUCCUUUGCUUUUGGAACAUUGCUCUAUUUUUUGUGAAUGUUUAAAUGAGAAUUAAACUUCACUGUUCUUAGUCCUCAGUCCAUUGUCCUCAUUUUUGCCCACACUCGAAAUUUCCAGUUGGCCGUAUCCCAGAUACGUGGGGCGACCACGUCUGUCCCUCACAUUUGGUGGCAGUGGUGGGAUCUUUUUUUCGACGCCAUCUGAGAAACUGGAGAGACGAGGGUCAAGACGAGGACUCGGUGGACAGCGAGGACGAGGACGAAUCUGGCGGCGAAUGGAGCAGAGGCUGACCCCGAGGGGUUCUACUGGAGAUGGAGGAGGAAGACGGCCAUGGAGAGGACCAGGAAUCCGGCGGAGACCCGCUAGAGGGGUCUGACCUUGCCGCGGUGCGUAGGCUCUUGGAGCGGGAGGCGUCCAAGCAGGGGCAGCGCUGGAGGAGUGUCCAUAUGCAGCUGAACCAGCUCAGGGUGGACGUCGAGGCUGACCGGAGGCCUUCAUCUGCACCAGAUCCAGCACCAGCUCCGGCAUUGGCACAUGCACCAGCACCUGCACCAGCAACUGCACCAGUAGCGCCUGUGACCUGGCCCAGGGCGGCCAUUCCCAGGCUGGAAGAGGAUGACGACAUUUGAGCAGUACCUCAUGACAUUUGUGAGGUUAGCAAUGGCUUUCGCUGGCCAAGAGAGGAUUGGGCCGUCUAUAGUACCCUACCUCGCCGGCAAAGCACGCAGCGCCUAUGUGGCGAUGAACAUGGGUCAUGCCACAGAUCCCCUUGGUAAAGCGGCCUUUACUGUGAUUGUGUAACAGAGGCUGCUAAGGAGGAGUCAGGGGGCGUGACCCCUUCGUUGUGGAUCACCGCGCCUCACAGUGGCUGGGUAGCAUGAAGGACUCAAAUGCUCGCAUCACCCACUGGUUCUUGGCACCGCAGCCAUUUCGUUUCACAGUGCUUUUUGUCUCGCCAUCCUGUUGGCGAAACUCCGGCGGUGGUGGGAAAUGUGAGAAGCUCCUUUUAGAAAAUGUACAGCGCGUAACGUCAAUUGCGCAGCACGCGGCACAUCGUCACGUAACCAACAUCAAAGAAGAAAAAUACACAGCGAGUGUGGCAGUUGUUGGCAGUAGGCUACCCUACACGGUUGCUAAGUUACAUUGAUUCUAGCAGUAGCGAGUGAAGCGGAAGAUCGAAGGAAAGAAGGAGACAGACAGAGAGAGACAGAGAGAGAGAGAAAAUGAGUCUAAAAAGCUGGGUGAUUAGAAAAAGGCAGACGGGGACAAUGGAGGAGCUGAGGUUAGUAAAGCAAAUCAGGGAAGCAAACUUUCAAGCUAAUGAGUAUUGUAUUUUGGAUUUGAAU
ensembl:lncRNA